AGAAGGGUUAAGGAAAGGGGACAAAAUACCCCUUUGGGUAGCAGGAUUGGUAGUAUUUCUUCAACGCCCUUUGAGGCCCCUGGUGUAGGUAAUAAAUAGCUAAACGAUUUACGAAAACACAUACAGACUCACUCUGAAGCAGGAGGAGGACAUGGUGCUGUCUAAACUUACAGGCGUCGUCCUCUCAUUUUUUGCCUUUCCUAUUGAUGAUUGACUAUAGCCCUUUGCUCUUUAGAGUGUUGGAGACUGGAGAGGAGGAGGAGGAGGAGGACGGAUGGAGCUUCAAAUCAAGGUCGCUCAGGCCGUUCACCUCCUAAAUCACGACACCCAGUCAUGUAACCGCGUGGCCGCGAAUCAAUGGCUUGUUCAAUUCCAGCAGAGCGACGCCGCUUGGGAAGUCGCUACUUCCAUUCUCACCUCCGACCACCAUCAGCAAUUUGAUUCGGAUUAUGAAGUGGAGUUUUUCGCAGCUCAGAUUCUCAAGCGAAAGAUCCAAAGUGAAGGAUAUUAUCUACAGUCCGAAGCAAAAGAUGCUUUGCUGAAUGCUCUUCUGUUGGCUGCUCGAAGAUUUAGUGCUGGCCCUUCAAAGCUAUUGACACAAAUCUGCCUUGCUCUCUCCACACUUCUACUUCACGCCGUAGAGCAUGGGAGACCCAUUGAGAAGCUUUUCUACAGUGUGCAGAAUCUGCAAAGUCACGAAGGUGGCCAUAUUGCCGUCCUAGAGAUGCUUACGGUCUUACCGGAAGUCUUUGAGGAUCACAUCACCAAUAACUGCAAAACUUUGACUAUUCGAUAUGAAUAUGAACAACAGCUUCUCUUGCAUACUCCAAUGGUCAUUGAGUUCCUUCUGCAGCAAUCUGAGAAGAGGUUUGGAGGUGGCGUUCAACUUGCUGACACCAAUAAAAAGAUAUUGCGUUGCUUGUUAAGUUGGGUUCGAGCUGGCUGCUUCUCGGAGAUUCCAGCUGCCUCAUUGCCAUCGCAUCCAAUUCUUAAUUUUAUUUUUAAUGCUUUGCAAGUCUUCUCUUCAUUUGAUCUGGCUAUUGAAGUUCUUGUUGAACUUAUGAGUCGAAAUGAGGGUUUGCCACAAGCUUUGUUAAGCAGAAUUGGAUUUCUAAAGGAAGUGCUUCUUCUUCCAGCUCUUAAUACGGGAGAUGAGAAAGUGAUUGCUGGUAUUGCUUGCUUGAUGUCAGAAAUUGGUCAGACAGCACCAUCUUUGAUUUUGAAAGCAAGUCCUGAGGCACUAAUACUCAUGGAUGCUCUAUUGAGUUGUGCUGCUUUUCCAGGUGAAGAUUGGGAAAUUGCUGACUCAACCUUGCAGUUCUGGUCAAGUCUUGCAGGUUGCAUUCUUGGGCAUGAUUUGAGUGGUGGAGGAGAUAGAAAGAAUAUUCAAGAAGUAUUUCUCCCUGCUUACUCAGCUUUACUUGAUGCUCUUCUCUUGCGGGCACAGGUGAACGAUUCUAUGUUUAAUGAUGAUGGAGAAACUAUUGAUCUGCCUGAUGGCCUUGUUCAAUUUCGGAUGAAUUUGGUGGAACUUUUGGUUGAUAUCUGUCAGCUUCUAGGCUCUGCUGCAUUUGCUCAAAAGAUCUUUCUUGGGGAUGGGUGUCUUUCAAUGUGCAGGUACCUUGGAAGGAGGUGGAAGCCAAAUUGUUUGCUCUCAAUGUGGUAGCUGAAGUAGUUCUUAAAGAAGGUGCAAACUUGGAUUUCUCUGUUUUAAUCGAAUUGGUGACAAUUUUGUCCAAUAGAACGUCUGAUGACCUCAAGGGCUUAAUGCUUAUGGUAUAUAAAUCGGUUGCAGACAUUAUUAGUUCCUAUUCAAAGUGGAUAUCUGCUUUCCUGACUAAUGGCAGGCCAUUACUGCUUUUUCUUGCCACAGGGAUUUCAAAACCUUUCUGUUCAAACGCUUCUUCAUGUGCCCUGCGCAAGUUCUGUGAAGAUGCUUGUGCAAUCAUGCAUGAACCUUCAAACUUGGAAAUCUUAAUCUGGAUUGGAGAGAAAUUGGAAGAGAGGCACUUUUCUCUUGAGGACGAGGAAGAAGUAGUUGGUGCAAUCACUUUUGUUGUUGGUUCUGUUCCUAACAAGGAGCUGAAGAAUAAUUUGUUAGUUAGAUUACUUUCUCCAAGCUAUGAAGCUAUUGGAAAGCUUAUCAGUGAAGAACAUAAGCAUUCUUUGAGGCAAGAUCCAGCUAUAUAUACUCGGCUUAUCUACUCUGCUAGAAGAGGACUAUAUAGAAUGGGAAUUGUAUUCAAUCAUCUAGCAACGCAUGUAUCCAAUGGUCCAUCUGUAGACAAUUCUAUUCUUGUGCUACUGGGGGUGUUGUGGCCAGUGCUUGAGAACGUCUUUCAAUCAGAACACAUUGAGAAUUCAAGUUUAUCUGCUGCAGCUUGCAGGGCACUGUCUCAAGCAAUUAAGUCAUCAGCUCAUCACUUUGUGACACUAGUGCCCAAAGUUCUAAAUUGUUUGUCAACAAAUUUCACAUCAUUCCCAAGUCAUGAGUGCUACAUCAGAACAGCUUCUAACAUUAUUGAGGAGUUUGGGAGUAGAGAAGAAUAUGGGCCUCUUUACAUCUGCACUUUUGAGAGAUUUACCUAUACAAGAUCAAUAAUUGCUCUUACGUCUUCAUACAUAUGUGACCAGGAGCCUGAUUUGGUGGAAGCCUAUACUAAUUUUGCAUCUGUAUAUGUCAGAAGCUGUUCCAAGGAAGUAAUAGCUGCCUCUGGCUCUAUUUUUGAAAUAUCCUUCCAGAAGGCUGCUAUAUGUUGUACAGCCAUGCAUCGAGGUGCAGCCUUGGCAGCAAUGUCAUAUAUGUCCUGCUUCUUGGAGGUUGGCCUGACUUCUUUGCUGGAAUGUAAAGCUUCUGUUGCUGAAGAAUCAGUUGAGGCAAUGGCAAUACAAGUCAUAUCUCACAGUGGUGAGGGGCUUGUAUCGAAUCUGGUGUAUGCUUUGCUGGGUAUUUCAGCACUGUCAAGGGUUCACAAGUCUGCAACAAUCUUGCAACAACUGGCUGCGGUGUGCAGUUUAAGUGAAAGAAUGACAUCAAAAGCUGUUCUUUGUUGGGAGUCUUUACAUGGAUGGCUACAUUCUGCAGUGCUGGCUCUACCAGCUGAUUACUUGAAGCAGGGAGAGUCUGAAUCUCUUGUGCCAACUUGGUUGAAGGCCCUCGGUGCUGCAUCUUCAGAAUAUCUUGAGAGUAGAUGCCGUGAUGGAGGAAAGGAUAAUCAUGGGUUAUUAAAUGGGAAAGGGGGAAGAUUUCUCAAACGGCUGGUUCGAGAAUUUGCAGAUAGCCACCGGAAUUGUUCAUACCUAGCAUAAGUUUUGCUCAUAAUUUCAGACCUGGCUAACAUCAUUGACUAUGAAAUCCCUUCCAUUUGCAUGAUUCUCAUUCUUUUGUAGCAUAACCAGUGUAUAGUAUCUCCAAUUUUGUUGAUGCAUUUAGAGAAUUGUAAGUACCUUUUCUCCCAUCUUUGUGCUGUAUAUGUAAAAACAUUUCUUUCUAAAAUUUUGUUGAAAGGGGAAGCGUGGGAAAAAGAGGUAAGGGGGUUGGGAAAGGGGAAAAUCAAAUCAUAUUCUUGGACAUGAAAUAAGGGGCAAAUAUUGGAUUCUUGGAGCAUGCACUAGUAGAGCUUGUUUGCAGGCCGUUCAUGGGAUUGACUUACUUUCCUUUGUUGGUUGUGCUAUUAAUUGCAAUGAUUGAAGUUUUAUUUCA